UUGUCCGGAAUUACUGGGCGUAAAGAGCUCGUAGGUGGUUUGUCGCGUUGUUCGUGAAAUCUCACGGCUUAACUGUGAGCGUGCGGGCGAUACGGGCAGACUUGAGUACUGCAGGGGAGACUGGAAUUCCUGGUGUAGCGGUGGAAUGCGCAGAUAUCAGGAGGAACACCGGUGGCGAAGGCGGGUCUCUGGGCAGUAACUGACGCUGAGGAGCGAAAGCGUGGGGAGCGAACAGGAUUAGAUACCCUGGUAGUCCACGCCGUAAACGGUGGGUACUAGGUGUGGGUUUCCUUCCUUGGGAUCCGUGCCGUAGCUAACGCAUUAAGUACCCCGCCUGGGGAGUACGGCCGCAAGGCUAAAACUCAAAGAAAUUGACGGGGGCCCGCACAAGCGGCGGAGCAUGUGGAUUAAUUCGAUGCAACGCGAAGAACCUUACCUGGGUUUGACAUGCACAGGACGCCGGCAGAGAUGUCGGUUCCCUUGUGGCCUGUGUGCAGGUGGUGCAUGGCUGUCGUCAGCUCGUGUCGUGAGAUGUUGGGUUAAGUCCCGCAACGAGCGCAACCCUUGUCUCAUGUUGCCAGCGGGUAAUGCCGGGGACUCGUGAGAGACUGCCGGGGUCAACUCGGAGGAAGGUGGGGAUGACGUCAAGUCAUCAUGCCCCUUAUGUCCAGGGCUUCACACAUGCUACAAUGGCCGGUACAAAGGGCUGCGAUGCCGCGAGGUUAAGCGAAUCCUUUUAAAGCCGGUCUCAGUUCGGAUCGGGGUCUGCAACUCGACCCCGUGAAGUCGGAGUCGCUAGUA
rnacentral:rRNA from 1 species